ANGUAUCACCGAAGCUGCGGAUUGUUCUUGCGAACAAUGGUAGGAGAGCGUUCUAAGUGCAGCGAAGUCAGACCGUGAGGACUGGUGGAGCGCUUAGAAGUGAGAAUGCCGGUAUGAGUAGCGAAAAAAGAGUGAGAAUCUCUUUCACCGAAAGCCUAAGGUUUCCUGAGGAAGGCUCGUCCGCUCAGGGUUAGUCGGGACCUAAGCCGAGGCCGAAAGGCGUAGGCGAUGGACAACAGGUGGAUAUUCCUGUACCACCUCCUUUCCGUUUGAACGACGGGGGGACGCAGGAGGAUAAGGAGAGCGCACGAUUGGAAAUGUGCGUCCAAGCAGUAAGAGAGUUGGAAUAGGCAAAUCCGUCCAACAAUCUCAAGCUGUGACGGGGAGGGAACAUAAGUACCGAAGCUCCGGAUUUCAUACUGCCAAGAAAAGCCUCUAGUGAGGAAAGAGGUGCCCGUACCGCAAACCGACACAGGUAGGCGAGGAGAGAAUCCUAAGGUGAGCGGGAGAACUCUCGUUAAGGAACUCGGCAAAAUGACCCCGUAACUUCGGGAGAAGGGGUGCUUCUUUUGCGAGAAGCCGCAGUGAAAAGGCCCAAGCGACUGUUUAGCAAAAACACAGGUCUCUGCGAAGCCGUAAGGCGAAGUAUAGGGGCUGACACCUGCCCGGUGCUGGAAGGUUAAGGGGACGCGUUAGCCGCAAGGCGAAGCGUUGAACCGAAGCCCCAGUAAACGGCGGCCGUAACUAUAACGGUCCUAAGGUAGCGAAAUUCCUUGUCGGGUAAGUUCCGACCCGCACGAAAGGUGCAACGACUUGGGCACUGUCUCAACGAGAGACCCGGUGAAAUUAUACUAUGCGUGAAGAUGCGCAUUACCCGCGACAGGACGGAAAGACCCCGUGGAGCUUUACUGUAGCCUGAUAUUGCAUGUUGGUACAGCUUGUACAGGAUAGGUGGGAGCCUUAGAAGCCGGAGCGCUAGCUUCGGUGGAGGCGUCGGUGGGAUACCACCCUGGCUGUACGGACAUUCUAACCCAGGACCGUGAUCCGGUCCGGAGACAGUGUCAGGUGGGCAGUUUGACUGGGGCGGUCGCCUCCUAAAGAGUAACGGAGGCGCCCAAAGGUUCCCUCAGAAUGGUUGGAAAUCAUUCGCAGAGUGUAAAGGCAGAAGGGAGCUUGACUGCGAGACCUACAAGUCGAGCAGGGACGAAAGUCGGGCUUAGUGAUCCGGCGGUGCCGUAUGGAAGGGCCGUCGCUCAACGGAUAAAAGCUACCCCGGGGAUAACAGGCUUAUCUCCCCCAAGAGUCCACAUCGACGGGGAGGUUUGGCACCUCGAUGUCGGCUCAUCGCAUCCUGGGGCUGUAGUCGGUCCCAAGGGUUGGGCUGUUCGCCCAUUAAAGCGGUACGCGAGCUGGGUUCAGAACGUCGUGAGACAGUUCGGUCCCUAUCCGUCGUGGGCGUUGGAAGUUUGAGAGGAGCUGUCCUUAGUACGAGAGGACCGGGAUGGACACACCGCUGGUGUACCAGUUGUUCCGCCAGGAGCAUAGCUGGGUAGCUACGUGUGGAAGGGAUAAGUGCUGAAAGCAUCUAAGCAUGAAGCCCCCCUCUAGAUGAGACUUCCCAUCAUUUUAAAUGAGUAAGAUCCCUCAGAGACGAUGAGGUUGAUAGGUCCGAGGUGGAAGCGUGGUGACACGUGCAGCUGACGGAUACUAAUCGAUCGAGGACUUAACUAU
rnacentral:rRNA from 1 species